rnacentral:rRNA from 1 species
GGCCCGCACAAGCGGAGGAACAUGUGGUUUAAUUCGAUGAUACGCGAGGAACCUUACCCGGGCUUGAACUGCCGGCGGACGAUACAGAGAUGUUGAGGCCCUUCGGGGCGCCGGUGGAGGUGCUGCAUGGUUGUCGUCAGCUCGUGCCGUGAGGUGUCGGCUUAAGUGCCAUAACGAGCGCAACCCCUCUCCGUAGUUGCCAUCAGGUUAAGCUGGGCACUCUGCGGACACUGCCGCCGUAAGGUGUGAGGAAGGUGGGGAUGACGUCAAAUCAGCACGGCCCUUACGUCCGGGGCUACACACGUGUUACAAUGGGUGGUACAGAGAGUUGGCGCUGCGCAAGCCGCGUCGGAUCAAUAAAGCCAUCCUCAGUUCGGACUGGGGUCUGCAACCCGACCCCACGAAGCUGGAUUCGCUAGUAAUCGCGCAUCAGCCAUGGCGCGGUGAAUACGUUCCCGGGC